rnacentral:rRNA from 1 species
AUUGAACGCUGGCGGCACGCCUAACACAUGCAAGUCGAACGGUAACAGGAAGAAGCUUGCUUCUUUGCUGACGAGUGGCGGACGGGUGAGUAAUGUCUGGGAAACUGCCUGAUGGAGGGGGAUAACUACUGGAAACGGUAGCUAAUACCGCAUAACGUCGCAAGACCAAAAAGGGGGACCUUCGGGCCUCUUGCCAUCGGAUGUGCCCAGAUGGGAUUAGCUAGUAGGUGGGGUAACGGCUCACCUAGGCGACGAUCCCUAGCUGGUCUGAGAGGAUGACCAGCCACACUGGAACUGAGACACGGUCCAGACUCCUACGGGAGGCAGCAGUGGGGAAUAUUGCACAAUGGGCGCAAGCCUGAUGCAGCCAUGCCGCGUGUAUGAAGAAGGCCUUCGGGUUGUAAAGUACUUUCAGCGGGGAGGAAGGGAGUAAAGUUAAUACCUUUGCUCAUUGACGUUACCCGCAGAAGAAGCACCGGCUAACUCCGUG